AAGAAGUUGGCCUUAGCCAGAAUGGAGAUACCUGAUCAUCAGAGGCUGGAGGAAAGCAGGUUCCUCAAAAAACAAACAACAACAAAAAAACAACAAAACAUGAAGAAGCCAAAUCUGGAGGAUGAGUUUUCCAAAUUAAACACUGAAUAUUGUUGUAGAGUAAAAUGAUACUGUUUGUAAAGAGAUGUUUUUACUAGACAUCCUCUUCCUAGCCACCUAUUAAGGAAUAACUAGAAUAUAUAUUAACAGCAAGACAUCGGAAAUUAUCUUUGCACCUGACAAAAUGUUAAGGUGAGAGGGGAAGCCAGCUGGGCUUCUGGGUUGGGUGGGGACUUGGAGAACUUUUCUGUCUAGCUAAAGGAUUAUAAAUGCAGCAAUCAGCACUGUGUAAAAAUGCACCAAACAGCACUCUGUAAAAUGGACCAAUUGGCUCUCUGUAAAAUGAACCAAUCAGCAGGAUGUGGGCUGGGCCAAAUAAGGAAUAAAAGCUGGCCACCCCAGCCAACAGCGGCAACCCACUUGGGUCCCCUUCCCCACUGUGGAAGCUUUGUUCUUUCACUCUUCACGAUAAAUCUUGCUGCUGCUCACUCUUUGGGUCUGCAUUACCUUUAUGAGCUGUAACACUCACUGUGAGGGUCUGUGGCUUCAUUCCUGAAGUCCGCCAGACCAUGAACCCACUGGGAGGAAUAAACAACUCUGGACACACCACCUUUAAGAGCUGUAACACUCACUGCAAGGGUCUGUGGCUUCACUCCUGAAGUCAGCGAGACCAUGAACCCACCAGAAGGAAGGAACUCUGGACACAUCUGAACAUCUGAAGGAACAAACUUCAGACACACCAUCUUUAAGAACUGUAGCACUCACCGUGAAGGCCUGCAGCUUCAUUCUUGAAGUCAGUGAGACCAAGAACCUGCCAGAGGAAUACAUUCCAGACACAUUUUGGUGACCCAGAUGGGACACAUUUUGAUGACCCAGAUGGGACACAUUUUGGUGACCCAGAUGGGACUAUUGCCUAUCGCCAAGCAAUUCAGAAUUUGGCUGGAUGCUCCUAAAGAGCUACUGAAAUAGACUCAAUGGCAGCUACGAUGCCCAACAGAAGCAGCGAUGCCUGGUGCACAUAGCAGGUUGCUAGCAGGAGUCAUCUGGGGUGAUUCACCUGUCUUGUUGGUGAGGAUAUGGACAUCAUCUGGGGACUCUCAGAAAUCCCUGAAGUGAUAUAGAGUCCCACAUGAGCUUGCCUGUGGUGUUUUACAAACCAAUAACGUAGUGUUCAUAAACCAAAGUCACUUGGAGGCAUCACCUGAAGAUAAGGCCCCUGUCUCCUAGUCUCUGUGGGAAGGCGAGAACCUAGCUUGGAUAAGCGCCAGUCAAAAAACCCACAUGGUUUCCCAUGGACCAACUCCACUUUACCACUUUUGGGAAUUUUUCACUUUCCUAACUGAGCCCCUACUUUCCCCUCUCCCUAAUUCCUUCUUUUAUCCUUAAAAUGCCCAGUCACUUCUGUACAACUCGAAGUUGAAUUUUGUUCACACUGGACUCUUUUCCCUAUUGAAAUAGUUAUCACUGAUUAAAAUCUGUCCUUACCAC
ensembl:lncRNA LINC01892 long intergenic non-protein coding RNA 1892